AAAGAGAGUUAAAGAGUGCCUGAAAUUGCUGGAAGGGAAGCGAAGGAAAGAGGUGUGGUAGGCCGCCCGGCCGCGGUCAGGGGUUGCGCCGGGCUCGGGGGAAGAGCCGUCGGGGAUCGGUAGGCGUGCCGCUUCGGCGGGGCGCUGUCAGGCCUCGGUGGUAUGUUGCCCUGAGCCCGGCCCCCUUCUGGCGGUCGCGGCUUUUCUUCACCCCGUCUUGAAACACGGACCAAGGAGUCUAGCGUGGACGCGAGUAGAGGGGUGUCGAAACCCCCUUGCGCAAUGAAGGUGAACGCCGGUGGGAGGCCGUCCUCGAUCGGGCGGCCAGCACCAUCGACCGAGCGUGCUCCUCCGGGGGCAAGGCUUGAGUGUGAGCGUGCAUGCUGGGACCCGAAAGAUGGUGAACUAUGCCUGAAUAGGGCGAAGCCAGGGGAAACUCUGGUGGAGGCUCGUAGCGAUUCUGACGUGCAAAUCGAUCGUGAGAUUUGGGUAUAGGGGCGAAAGACUAAUCGAACCAUCUAGUAGCUGGUUCCCUCCGAAAUUUCCCUCAGGAUAGCAGCGGCCGAGCGUUGACAGUUUUAUCAGGUAAAGCGAAUGAUUAGAGGCUGCGGGGGAGUAACUCCCUCGCCCUAUUCUCAAACUUUAAAUGGGUAAGGAGCCGGGGUCGCUUGAUUGGACCCUCGGCAGCAAAGAAGAUGGCUGGUCGUUAGUGGGCCAGUCCGGGUAAGCUGGACUGGCGAUGCGGGAUGAACCGAACGCCUAGAUGAAGCGCCUCACUGCCCGCUCACCUAGAUCCCACAAAAGGUGUUGGUUCAUUCAGACAGCAGGACGGUGGCCAUGG
rnacentral:rRNA from 1 species